UACAGAGGGUGCAAGCGUUGUUCGGAAUUAUUGGGCGUAAAGCGCGUGUAGGCGGCUUUGCAAGUCGGGUGUGAAAGCCCUCGGCUCAACCGAGGAAGUGCGCCCGAAACUGCAUGGCUUGAAUACCGGAGAGGGUAGCGGAAUUCCCCAAGUAGAGGUGAAAUUCGUAGAUAUGGGGAGGAACACCGGUGGCGAAGGCGGCUACCUGGACGGCUAUUGACGCUGAGACGCGAAAGCGUGGGUAGCAAACAGG
rnacentral:rRNA from 1 species